rnacentral:tRNA from 1 species
GGUCUUAUAUUCAAAUAUGAUUUUAAAUUGCAAAUUUAAGGGUGAUAAAUAUCUAAGGCUU